UGGGGAAUAUUGGACAAUGGGCGAAAGCCUGAUCCAGCCAUGCCGCGUGUGUGAAGAAGGUCUUCGGAUUGUAAAGCACUUUAAGUUGGGAGGAAGGGUUGUAGAUUAAUACUCUGCAAUUUUGACGUUACCGACAGAAUAAGCACCGGCUAACUCUGUGCCAGCAGCCGCGGUAAUACAGAGGGUGCAAGCGUUAAUCGGAAUUACUGGGCGUAAAGCGCGCGUAGGUGGUUAGUUAAGUUGGAUGUGAAAUCCCCGGGCUCAACCUGGGAACUGCAUUCAAAACUGACUGACUAGAGUAUGGUAGAGGGUGGUGGAAUUUCCUGUGUAGCGGUGAAAUGCGUAGAUAUAGGAAGGAACACCAGUGGCGAAGGCGACCACCUGGACUGAUACUGACACUGAGGUGCGAAAGUGUGGGGAGCAAACA
rnacentral:rRNA from 1 species